GGGGAAUUAACUCAGCGGUAGAGCAAUUAACUGCAGAUAAAUAGGUCUUCGAUUCAAAUACGGAAUGCCCCU
rfam:Neocallimastix californiae strain G1 LY90scaffold_363, whole genome shotgun sequence.